GCAGAUCGCAGUCAUCAUAGGUGUCGAGAAAUUACCCUUUGUGACAAUCAGAAAAAACAGUUUCUCUUCACUCUAUGGGAGGAUUUCGGAGAAAUAGAAGGACAUGAAAUUGGCUCAAAAAUGGCAACAGAGGCAGAUCUGCCUGUAAUCCUCGGAAGGAGUAUAGGAAUCUCUACUUAUCAAGGGUUGUCACUGCAGACUAGGUACAACUCCACAGUACGUGUCAAUCUGAAUUACCCACAGGCACUCGCACUCAUCAACUGG